ACCAGACUCCUACGGGAGGCAGCAGUGGGGGAUAUUGCACAAUGGGGGAAACCCUGAUGCAGCGACGCCGCGUGAGUGAAGAAGUAUUUCGGUAUGUAAAGCUCUAUCAGCAGGGACGAAAAUGACGGUACCUGAGUAAGAAGCCCCGGCUAACUACGUGCCAGCAGCCGCGGUAAUACGUAGGGGGCAAGCGUUAUCCGGAUUUACUGGGUGUAAAGGGAGCGCAGACGGUGAGACAAGUCUGAAGUGAAAGCCCGGGGCUCAACCCCGGGACUGCUUUGGAAACUGCCUGACUGGAGUGCUGGAGAGGCAAGCGGAAUUCCUAGUGUAGCGGUGAAAUGCGUAGAUAUUAGGAAGAACACCAGUGGCGAAGGCGGCUUGCUGGACAGUAACUGACGUUGAGGCUCGAAAGCGUGGGGAGCAAACAGGAUUAGAUACCCGGGUAACA
rnacentral:rRNA from 1 species